AGAGUUUGAGUCCUGGCUCAGGAUGAACGCUGGCGGCGUGCCUAAUACAUGCAAGUCGAGCGAACCACUUCGGUGGUGAGCGGCGAACGGGUGAGUAACACGUAGGUGAUCUGCCCAUCAGACGGGGACAACGAUUGGAAACGAUCGCUAAUACCGGAUAGGACGAAAGUUUAAAGGUGCUUCUGGCACCGCUGAUGGAUGAGCCUGCGGCGCAUUAGCUAGUUGGUAGGGUAAAGGCCUACCAAGGCGACGAUGCGUAGCCGACCUGAGAGGGUGAACGGCCACACUGGGACUGAGACACGGCCCAGACUCCUACGGGAGGCAGCAGUAGGGAAUCUUCGGCAAUGGGCGAAAGCCUGACCGAGCAACGCCGCGUGAAUGAUGAAGGCCUUCGGGUUGUAAAAUUCUGUUAUAAGGGAAGAACGACUUUAGUAGGAAAUGGCUAGAGUGUGACGGUACCUUAUGAGAAAGCCACGGCUAACUACGUG
rnacentral:rRNA from 1 species